UGGUAUGCGGGAGAUACUGCGAGGCUAGGGGGCGGGGGAGGCCGGCGGUAUUUCUAGGGUAGGGGUGAAAUCCUAUAAUCCUAGGAGGACCACCAGUGGCGAAGGCGGCCGGCUAAAACGCGCCCGACGGUGAGGGACGAAAGCUGGGGGAGCGAACCGGAUUAGAUACCCGGGUAGUCCCAGCUGUAAACGAUGCGGACUAGGUGUUGGAACGGCUACGGGCCGUUUCAGUGCCGCAGGGAAGCCAUUAAGUCCGCCGCCUGGGGAGUACGACCGCAAGGUUGAAACUUAAAGGAAUUGGCGGGGGAGCACCACAAGGGGUGAAUGCUGCGGUUUAAUUGGAGUCACCGCCGGGAACCUUACCGGGAGCGACAGCAGAAUGAAGGCCAGGUUGAAGGUCUGGCCAGACAAGCUGAGAGGAGGUGCAUGGCCGUCGCCAGUUCGUGCCGUGAGGUGUCCUGUUAAGUCAGGCAACGAACGAGACCCCUGCUCCCAGUUGCCAGCGGGUUCCAUCGGAAUGCCGGGCACACUGGGUGGACUGCCAGCGAUAAGCUGGAGGAAGGUGGGGGCCACGGCAGGUCAGUAUGCCCCGAAUCUCCCGGGCCACACGCGGCAUGCAAUGGCAGGGACAGAGGGUUCCGACCUCGAGAGAGGAAGGUAAUCCCUAAACCCUGCCUCAGUUGGGACUGAGGGUUGAACCCACCCUCAUGAACAUGGAAUCCCUA
rnacentral:rRNA from 1 species